rnacentral:siRNA from 1 species
UCAUGGUUUGCUUCUUCCAGG